rnacentral:rRNA from 1 species
AUUGAACGCUGGCGGCAGGCCUAACACAUGCAAGUCGAGCGGAGCUGCGGACGGGCGAGUAAUUCCUAGGUAUCUGCCUGGUAGUGGGGGAUAACGUCCGGAAACGGGCCCUAAUACCACAUAGUAUCAGCUGACCCUAGGUCGUAUUUGCUAGGUGGUGGGGUAAAGGCCUACCAAGGCGACGGUCCGGAACUGGUCUGAGAGGAUGAUCAGUCACACGGGAACUGAGACACGGUCCAGACUCCUACGGUAGGCAGCAGUGGGGAAUCUUGGACAAUGGGCGAAAGCCUGAUCCAGCCAUGCCGCGUGUGUGAAGAAGGUCUUCGGAUUGUAAAGCACUGUAAGUAGGGAGGCGUUACCAACAGAGUAAGCACCGGCUAACUUCGUGCCAGCAGCCGCGGUAAUAC